rnacentral:lncRNA from 1 species
CUCCACACAUGACCCACUUGCAUACAAAUCAAUCUCCAAUUGCUUUUCAAUAAACUAUGAUGCUUAACACCCCAGAUUAAUCGUGAUGCACAAAUUAACCCUCAGAUUUUCCUUUACUCAUUGAAUUGGAUGAAUACAUGCGACAACCCAAAUCAUUCUCUAAAAGUCCCCUAUAUGAAUGCAUAAUAGAUAUACAAUUAAAGAUCAUUAAGUUCCAUGAAAAUCAUAAGCGUUGACGAGGCAAUUGUAACUAUGAAUGCAUGAUACAUUUGCCAAGAAUUCAAUUAACGCGAUUGUGACAAGCAACCUUCACUACUCAUGAAUAUAAACUUGUACCGAUUAGGUGAAACUUAUUUAUAUCCUAGCAUCAAAUUCAUGCAUGAAAACUAAGUAUGCAUCCUUAAUAAACAUACACAAAUCCGUUAUGAAUAAAAUAGAUAAUUGAAUUGCAAUCACAACUUAUCAAGUCACAAUUGGAAGAAAUCGAUUCAUAUUGCAAAUAUAUUCAUGGUUUCGAAUUCUCCUCUAGCCAAAAGAGGUUUAGUUCCUCAUACUUGCAAUUAAACAGAAACAAUUGAAAUUAAACAUUGAAAACCAAAGUAGAAUACACCUAGAAUGCUUCAGCAAUCCAAU